UCUCAUACGAGUCAUACGACAUGUAUGUUCGUUCGAAUUUCGAGUCAUACGCAGAGUUAAGACUGUUAAGAGUGUUAAGAGUGUUAAGACUAUUAAGAGUUAAAACUGAGUUCAGUGAGUACUGAAAAUAUUGGUAAGAAAUGUCCUGAGCGUAAGCUUGGAUUAAGGGUCUCCUCAUGUGUCGUGUUUGUAUCUCUUGACAAAAUCCAUGUUAAAAAUGUUCGCGUUUUUUAAAUUUUAGAUAAGUCUUACCGUGAUUAAAAUACCGGAAGUUAACAUUUUCCAUCAUUCGCGCGUUUACAGAGUUAGGUAUUGAAAGCCUUAUUUGUUGGUUUUUGGUUCAUCAAGCGAUGGGCAAACUUUACGUGGACUUGUUAUUGAACUGUCAUUACAGCAUUUUCGUCGCAACUUCUUUUUCUUUUUUAUUGUAUUUGUUUACAGAAAAUGGAACACAUCCACAUGUUUUAAAUCAUCUUUUCAUCUGUCUUCAAUCUGCGUCCAGUGAAAUUUGAUGUAGUUUGUUUAGGGUGUUACUUGUGUUAAUCGACAACUGUUGUGAUUUUGUGUUGUUCCUGCCCGUGGUUUGAACGUUGUGGUUUAUUUUUUGUUCAUUGACUUAAUCGACAAUAACCGUGGCUGGGUAGUCGCAUGCACGUGAGAUCUAUACAUUUUAUUGUAUUAAUUAACUUUAAUACCUAUGUUUUUCAGCUUAUAUUUUGCACGAGAUUAAAUCUGUCAUUUAACAGGGUUAUAUUGACAUGAUUUUUCAAUAUUGAAAAGAGUUACCACCCUUACAACAGAAAUUGCUGUACACCAUACAACGUACAGUCUUCAAGUUAUAAUCAUAAAAAUAUCACUAUAGGUAUGUGUAGGUAGUGGGUAUCUGUGUAAUAUAAUAUACCAGCAAUAAUGUCUAAAUUGAAUAAGUAUAACGCUGGCAUAGUUUAUUAGAGAUUUUUUAUAAUUAUUAACAUUGCUUAAGACUUAAGAGUCAUGUUAACUAUCUUGACUGUAAUAUAUACAAGUUAUACAAAUCAUUAAAAAUCUUAAAAAUUAAUAAUAUUUACUUGAUACAAUUAUUAUUAAUCUAUUAUAUCUGGUUUGCAUCAAAGAAAUUCCUAAAUAGCAGAAUUAAGAUGUAAAAUAAAAAUAUAAGACACUAGCUAAAACAUUAUAAAGGGAAUAAUGCAAUGCAAAGAAAAAUUCAUCUGAAACUGUUAAGCUUUGUACUAAAAAUAAUUGAAAAGUGAAUACAUCCUAUACCUAAUAUCAAGUAAAAAUUAAUGGUAACUGAAGAAAUAAGAAAAUACAUAGC